rnacentral:lncRNA from 1 species
CUCCCUUAUUAUUCCCCUCUCCCAAGGGAAAGCACAUAUAGAAGCAGUGUUUCCUCACAAUUUUGGCCACGCCAGCCCAAGACAACACAAGAGGAAGUGCCAGGCCAUUUGUCACCCACCAUCUCUCGGAGCACACAGACAAAUGGACAGUGGUGACACAGCCAGAUGGGUCCUUUGACAAGAGGGAAGCACAGAGGUCCUGAGAACACAGGCAAGGGCCCCAACCUGAACCCACCCUGUGCCACUUCCUACCCUAUAGUGUCUGGAGACUAUUAUCAGGGGGCCCUGGUUUCCUCUCAAAUUCUCACGAAGAAUCUGGCUGUGCAGCUCAUCACUUGGAAAGAAGCCUCGAGUCUCUGGUCACCCUUGGCCGUACUGCAGCUCUGGAGCUAGCAGAGCAAGGUCACAAGGUCUGGUCCCCACCCAGAGGGGCCUGGGCCCUCCCAUAAGGGGAUAAGGGCUGGCUAGAGCUGACUAAGAGCCAAAGGUUAGCGUCUCCACUCUACAAAUGAGGACACAAAAAAGUUAAGGGACUUGCCCAGAGUCUUGGAGUUAUCUCUUUUUCAGAGUGAGUACGAAAAAAAAAAAAAAAAAAAAAAAAAUCAAGUUUCCUGAUUCCAAAUCCUUCAGUGGAUCACACCCCUUGGUUCAGGCUUUCUUACGGCUGUCACUUGACAGGCCUGUCCCUUGGUAAGUCCUCCAGUGGUCAUUGCUUUAACCCCUUCUUGAAACCACAGCCCAUGCCAGCAGCCAGGAGCAGCUCCUUGGUAUUUGUCCUGACUUUUCUCCUCUCUCUUUCCCCCUCUGGCUUCAGCCCCUUUAAUUACUUCUUCCCUAAAUCCUUUCUAGACAAACAAAAUCCAAUCAGAAAUUGUACACAGAGCAAAUUUAAAAUUGGAAGUCAUUACUCUUGCCAAGAAUAAAACUGAAAUAACACUGUUUAAAACCAUCAACAGGACACGCAUGGUGGUGCACGCCUUUCUAAUCCUAGGGGCUUGGGAGGCUGAGGCAGGAUUGGCAGUUCCAGGCCAGCCUUGGUAGCUUAGCAAGACCCCAUCUCAGAAUCAAAUUAAAUGGGCGGGGGGCAUGGCUCAGUAGUACAGGGCCCAGUAGGUCCAAGGCUCCUUUAUUUCUGAAAUUUUCCAUCUUAUAUUUUUCAGCUAUGGUUGACUGCAGGAAACUGCAAAAAGUGAAACUUCAAAAAGUGAAACUUCAGAUAAAGAGCUACUGCAGCAAUUCCUAAAGCAGCUGAGAUGCUUCUUCAAACUCAAGGGGGCUUCUCCAGCUGAGCAGGUGAGGGAUGGGUGCCGUCUACCCCUACUCAUUCCUUUACCUCCAGCUCUAAGCUGCCCCUCUGAGGCGUGUGCUCUCCCCAGUCAUCCUCACCCCCGUUUGGCACAGUCCUAACCUCUGGCUCCUCUCGAAGGCCACCCUCCUCCCGGGAUAGUCCUCCCAGCUGUAGUGCCUUGAUCCCUGUUGCUGUGUUACUGUGUCACCCAGCAACUAGUAGGUGGCCCAUCAUAGGGUCGCCUGAGCGAGUGGUUGACUAUUCUGUUUAUUCUCUUGAGGCUUUUCUGAAAAGAAAAAGAAAAAUUAUAAAUAUUUAUAACUGAAU